UAAUUAUCAUAUAAUACUUCAACUUUACCUUUUCUCUUCCACAAAACUAUUUCUCUUCAUCAAAUCAUAUUGAUCCAUCCCAGCUUUUACUCAUCCUCCUCUAUGGCCGUCUCACCUAAUUCAAGUUCCUUAGAGUUAACAAUAUCAAUUCCAAGCUUCUCUCCAUCUCCUUCACUCCCUUCAUCCGGUAAUCACAUGGUGAGAGAUUUGGACAUAAAUCAAACUCCAAAGACGAAAAACGAUCGUGAGUGGAUCAUGAUCGGUGCAACACCGCAUGUCAACGAUGACGAAGGCUGCUCUGGCGGCAGGCGGCGCAAAAAGCUCCGUCUAACCAAAGACCAAUCGCAUCUUCUUGAAGAUAGUCUUAUAAAAAAAACCAUACCUUAACCCAUUCGGCUGAUUAUGCUAUGGUUGGAUGAUGAUGAAAUCACAGAAACAAAAACAAGAAUUGGCCACUUUUCUUAAGCUUAGUCAAAGGCAAGUUGAGGUGUGGUUUCAAAAUCGAAGAGCUAGGUACGUACUUGGAUCUACCGCUUUCGUAUAUUGCAUCGUUUGUUAUACAUAUAAAUUGAGGAAUAUAUGGCUACACGGUGAGGCAUGUUAUAUGUAGGGUUUUAUGGAAUUAGAUUUUGAGUAAAUGAGGAUAUAAGUUGAUUAACGAGAGUGCGUUGACAGAAUAUUUAUAUAUUAAAGAGAUUAUGUGCGAUCGUUACUUAGAUUCUCAACAGCAUUCACCAAUCACCAUAUAUACAAUAAUAGUUUUAGAAAAAUCUAGUAAAGUAGAAAAGAUCCUUUUUCAUCCAAGUGUUUCACGUUGAUUUCCUCAUCUAUAGUUAUCACGCAUUUUAUGCGACACAUGAAAAGUCCGUACUUAUUUAUGUGACUACGUGCCUAUAUAUAAAUGUCCCGUGAUUAAAAAUCAAAGAUAUAUAAUCUAAUAAAUGUAUCAACAAGAAAAAAGGCGAUAAGGAACAUAAGAGACAAAGUUAGAAACAAUGAAUGAUUUGUUUUUUAUUUAAUUAUUUCAGCCAUCUUUGGACGGUCCAAAUUAUGAUGCAUGUUUGUUUCAUAUUAUAGUAUACGUACGUUUCUUUAAUGAAAUAUAAACUUACACACUGCACACACUUGCACCCCUUUUUUUCACCUCACACACAUACACUUAUCGAUUUUUCUCUUUACGUCUAUACAUUCAUGAUAUAUGCAUAAUACAACAUCACAUGAAAAAAAAAACAAUUCCUAAAAGGUGUAAGAACCUGUCCACUAGCAAUGACGGGUUUUACUCUAAAUCAUAGUGUUAACAGCUCAGAGAACCACAUAGAAAAAUGUUCUUUAUAUUUCUUGUUCUUGUCUAGCUGUUCUACUUUCUCUUUUGUUUCCAAUCAUAUUGUAAAGAAUGUGUUAAAAUUCAGUUGUUUCUAAAUAAAGAAAUGUUUAUUCCCAUAUCUGCUUGGAUUCCAGGUUCGGAUCGGUUAACCGUAACCGCGCUACUAAACAGGUAUGAUAAAUGAUGACUUAUAAAACUUUGUUGGGCAAUUCACACUCUUGCAUCAACUAUUCACACACAAUAUGUUAUAAUUGUUAAAACACGUUUACAAAAUGAUGGUCGGUGAUCACGACUUGGACGGUGAUCACGGCUUCGACGGUGAUCACGGCUUGGACGGUGGCCAUAAAUGGAAAUGAGUUUUGUCAACUCUUGUAGGCACCUACCAAUCCUCAUAAUCUCUAUAAAUACAAAGCCAUGCCAUUACCUCACAUUUAUCCCAAAAUCAAAAUCACAUAGAGAAGUGAAGAAGAAGAAGAACGUGAGAGAGAGAAAAAAAAAAUUCUUACGGGUAUUUAGGAUCGGGUUGAGAGAAAAUUAUUCAGAGAGUUCGGGUAUUUUCUCCUAUUAUAACGAGAAAAUUAUUAAUCGAUUUCUCCGUUAUAAUUGAGAGGUUGUAACUCCUA